rnacentral:ncRNA from 1 species
AUAAAGGCGAUGAAAAGAAGAGUAAAUUUUGUAUAAAUCUACAGAGACCUCUAUUAGCUGAAAAAGAGGGUUUUAUACUUUAUUGAACCAAGUCUUGGAGCUGUGUAUCGGAUUUAACAUGAUGGUACAACGGAUUCUCACGUUACUGAGAUAGAGUAUCACUAUUUUUUAGUCGUACUUGAUAAGAUUCCUAUAGUGAUAUAUGGAAUAAACUGAGGUGGCACCGUGACUAAGUUCACCCUCAAG